UUCUCGUUUUGGAAUACAAACUUCACUAAACCACAGUGGAGAUAAUCUUGUGUAAUGCAGAUUUUACAGUAUAGUCAAGACCUUUUAAUGUAACAUUUAAAUAUAUUCUGAAGGCCUAUAUGUGAAUUAUAACAUUAUUAUAUGAUUAUGAAAACAUUUGCAUUGCAGUAACAGAAUAUGAACUCAUAUUUGAUCAGUGCUGCCUAGUUUGAUCCGAGUUUGUGAGUGAUUGACAGCUGCUCAGAGACGAAGCCUCUAGAUGUCUCCACCUGUUACCAGUAGAUGUUGAAGAAGAAGAAGACCUUAUCAGAUGUGUGUGUGUGUUGGAGUCAGUGUGAGUAUAGAAACAGCACCCCAUGGGGACUCAGAUACAGAUCAUAUCUUUUUAAGAGUAGCUACUAAUGACUGUUUCUGUCCUGCUGAAGUGUCUGAUUAUCUGUCUUUGUUGUUGUUGGUGCUGGGAAUACCUCGGGUAUAGCUUUCCCUCUGUGUGUGUGUGUUAUCUCCACAGCAGAACAGAGUGGCAGCGCAGUGAAUGAGUGAAGGAUGGAGAGAUGGUGAUCUUGAUGCUGUGUGUGUGUGUGUGUGUGUGGGGGGGGAGGGGACUAUUCACACCCGUCCUCCCACUGGAAGCUGCUCUGGCUGAUAAGAGAUCGGAGGGAGAUUCAUCCAUUCAUCCAUCCAUCCCUCCGUCCUCCCCCCUUCCCCCGGGCUUGGCCGGCCCCUCUGUGCGGGCCAGGCGGUCUCUAGCUCGGCCAGUGCAGCCCUGUCUCCUCUGGCCAGCCGGCGUCGCUCCCUGGAAAUCAAUCAAGGUGGAUGAGCGUGAGAACGGGCUCGAGGGUCGGGCUGCUGGCUCGACGAGGGCCGCCUGGGGAAUAGACAUGAGAAUAGAAAGAGAUGAUGGGUGGUGGUGGAGAGUUCAACUAAUUAAGCACCAAGCGUCCUGGAUCUUUAGUUUGGUUAUCAGCUGCUAAUGUCUCCCACAGAGAAACACUGACCCAGGUAUUGACCUGACUGACUCAACUCUGAGGCCUCUGCUUUUGUAGCCUCGGUCAGUUUAAUGUAAAUUAUUUCACUCCACAUUUUACUGUAUGGAAGCCCAUUCCUGCUAGAAAAGGGGAAAAAUGCCAAAAAAUAAAAAUACUGAUGAUGAGUCGAAACUA